rnacentral:misc_RNA from 1 species
GUGAGCUCAAGCUCUUAUCUGAAUUUCAAGAUGCUCAGUCUGCCCACUCAUAACAAUCUUUCAUCCAAUCCAAAGCAGUGUUAUUUCCCCUCAACGGAAAACUACAAGCUCAACACUGAUGCUAGUAUCUCAGAUGACAAAAAAGCUCAACACUCGCGGGGCAGGGGCAAUGUCAUGUUAGCUGCGUCCAAGGCCUUAUCUGGUGUGUAUGAUUCCUCGCUGGCAGAAUUCUUGCAAUUAAAUAAGGAUUGGAAACAGCUGUUGAUGCAGGAUUUACUCGCCUUGAAGUGGAAAGUGAUUCUUUGUCCUCUAUUAUAGCCUUGUGUGGCGGCUCAUCUGUUCAUCCCAUUCGUUAUUUUUUCAGGAUGUUCUGCAUCUAUCUCAAGUUCUAGAAUUUGUCUUUCAAAUUUGCUUAUCGGUUGGCCAAUGAACUAGCACACUGCCUUACAAAAGAAUCAUUUCUGAUGCAUGUUUUAGAAUGUGUUUGGAUGGAGGAAGUACCCCCCUAUCUUGUGAAUAUUGUCUUUUCUGAUUUGCUGUAUGCUUCCUCUUCUUAUGAAUGAAAGCAUUUCUUUUCUUCUUCAAAAAAAAAGAAAAAAAGUGUGAUGAAAAUUAAAUAAAAAAUAUUUACUAAUAUUGUAAAGCCCUUUCCCCCACUUUUUCUCCUUACCUUGGGGGGGAAUUGCCAUCUUUUUGAAGUGUUACCCACUUUAAUUUUUCUUUCUGUUCUCAUGUUCACCAAAUAAGGGGUCAAGACAGAUCUUACUAAUCAAUCUAUUCCAAAAACUCUCUCUAGUAUCCUAGAAAGAGAAAAUCCUCUUUGUUGUCUUUAGUCUAUUUUUACUCUCGGGACUUCGCCGAGUUUUAUCGUCUUUGAUGGCCCUUCCCUUCCCAGAGGGAAGGGAAAGGUGCUUUCUCUAGUUGGGUUUUUGGGUCCCCUCCCCUCCCCGGACUAAAUUGUUUAUAGCUUUUGUUUUGGUUGGUUUGGGCAUAUCGGUGCUUGCUUUGUGAGGGACGCUUUGGAUCUGCAAUGGUUCUGCUACUGGAGUUUGUGGGUGAAGCAUGGGUUUUGUGCUGUAGGAGAGAUGAGUUCCCAGAGCCAUGAACGCCAUUGUUGCGACUGCUAGUUCAACACGGCUAUGAGAGACUGAAACUGGCGAGUGCUUUCUCCUCCUUCAGAUUCCUGCCCACCUCCUUUCUUCAGUGUUUGGCUAGCCUUGGUUCUUUGAUGGUGACUGGAGGUCUGAUGCUGAUUACUUGGUGAAGCGCCAUCUGCUCUUGCGCCUAUGUUAUGCUUUUGAAUGCAAAUGGCUCUGUUGCUCCGUGGCCCUCCCCCUCAAUUCGCAUCUCAGUUGGGUACAGAUUGGUUGCGGCAGUGCAAAAUCAGAUUGGCGCUGCCUUUGCGUUCUAAGGCUGUUGAUUAUGGGUGAACUGGACUCUAAUCUAGUUGGUUCUGAUUUGUAAUUGUUUUGGAGCCUCUUUUUUAUUGGCUAGGCCAUGGUUGUAUAAUGUUGGUUAGGCCUUAUGGCCCAUGUUAAUACAAAUGUUGUA